UAAAUACUCACUCCAUCCAACAAAAGAUGUCUCAAGUUUUUCAAAAUUUGGAUAUAUCUAGAUAUGACUUAGUGUAUAGAUACUUUCAAAUUUAGUCAAAUUUGAGACAUCCUUUAUUGGACGGAGGGAGUGGUAU
rfam:Brachypodium distachyon strain Bd21 chromosome 4, whole genome shotgun sequence.